CGCGGCCCUCGGUGUGUGUUUCAGGAGGGGGCUGCAGACGAAGGGGGAUGAGUGCCGUAACCUUUUCCUUUGUUAGGAGAUUAGGUUUGCUGCAGGCUCUUCUGCCUCUUGUGUAACCCUGCAAACUAAUUCCUUGAGCAUGCUAAGAAGUGUGAGUGGCUUACAGUGUCCCUUCUUUUGGGGAGUUUCACCUUAUACAGUACCUCUCCUGUCAAAAGAACAGAAUGCAGAAGCUAAAAUAGAGAUUGGAAACAACAGAGCCUCCUCAGAAAACCCUUGGUUGAUUGAAUUGUCUGAAUUAACAUUUACACGACCUCUUUGUGUCCUUCAUUGAACACGCUUGUUGAUCAGAAUUAGUAUGUACAUUUGUGAACAACUGUUUUCAAGGAUGAAG